ACAUACGACCAUAGGGUGUGGAAAACAGGGCUUCCCGUCCGCUCAGCCGUACUUAAGCCACACGCCGGUGAGUUAGUAGUUGGGUGGGUGACCACCAGCGAAUCCUCACUGUUGUAUGNNN
rnacentral:rRNA from 1 species